rnacentral:lncRNA from 1 species
GGGGAAGGCGGUGCUCGUGCUGCUGGGCAGCGGAGCGUUUCAGACAAAGAGCCACGCAUUGGGGGUUCAGAGUGAGAAGCGGCAGCAGGCAGGAGACCUCGGUGAAGUGUGAAAGCCCCAGAAGCUGCAGCAUUCAAGUUGGUUUGGUCAACUGAGACUUGGGCUCAAACUGGCUUCCCCGCUGGCCGGACC